rnacentral:misc_RNA from 1 species
GAUGAAGAACGUAGCGAAAUGCGAUAAGUAAUGUGAAUUGCAGAAUUCAGUGAAUCAUCGAGUUUUUGAACGCAUAUUGCGCCCUCUGGUAUUCCGGGGGGCAUGCCUGUUCGAGCGUCAUUAAAUAACCCUCAAGCAUAGCUUGGUGUUGGGCUUUUUUACGUCCUUGACUGGGAUGGGCCUAAAAAUUAGUGGCGAUGGCUUUUUUACUUUCAAGCGUAGUAAAUCUCGUCUUGCUAAAGAGGAAAAAGAUUUUUUUUCUGCCAAAAAUUUUAACAUUUAAAGUUGACCUCGGAUCAGGUAGGAUUACCCGCUGAACUUUAGCAUAUCAAUAAGCGGAGGA